rnacentral:rRNA from 1 species
CAGGUUGAUAUUCCUGUACCACCUCUUUUCCGUUUGAGCAAUGGGGGGGACGCAGGAGGAUAGGGUAAGCGCACUGCUGGAUAUGUGCGUCUAAGCAGUUAGGCUGAUGAUGAGGAAAAUCCCGUCAUCGUGAAGGCUGAGCUGUGACAGCGAGCGAAUUAUAGUAGCGAAGUUCCUGAUUCCACACUGCCAAAGAAAAGCCUCUAGCGAGGAAAAAGGUGCCCGUACCGCAAACCGACACAGGUAGGCGAGGAGAGAAUCCUAAGGUGAGCGAGAGAACUCUCGUUAAGGAACUCGGCAAAAUGACCCCGUAACUUCGGGAGAAGGGGUGCUCUUUGGGGUGCAUAGCCUCGAAGAGCCGCAGUGAAUAGGCCCAGGCGACUGUUUAGCAAAAACACAGGUCUCUGCGAAGCCGUAAGGCGAAGUAUAGGGGCUGACGCCUGCCCGGUGCUGGAAGGUUAAGAGGAGUGCUUAGCGCAAGCGAAGGUGCGAAUCGAAGCCCCAGUAAACGGCGGCCGUAACUAUAACGGUCCUAAGGUAGCGAAAUUCCUUGUCGGGUAAGUUCCGACCCGCACGAAAGGCGUAACGAUCUGGGCACUGUCUCAACGAGAGACUCGGUGAAAUUAUAGUACCUGUGAAGAUGCAGGUUACCCGCGACAGGACGGAAAGACCCCGUGGAGCUUUACUGUAGCCUGAUAUUG